CCCAUAAGUAUAAGGUUGUGUGGGCACUGCUGCUGCAAUAAAAAGUCGAAGUAUAAUUGGUCUGAGGGUGUGGAGAGAAGCAGCAGGGGAUGCUGGUAGGGACAGUAAAAGCUCAAUAGGGUUACGGAAACCUGCCAAAUCUCCAUCCUCACUGCAGGGAGCUCCUGAUGCUGCCAGGCAGUAAGGAAAACAGAUGGCUGUUGCUUUUGAAGCCAGUAACAUUAAUUUCUGUGCCUGUUGUGUAUUUUUCCUCCUUCCCCUAGAUUUUCCAACUCCUGCAGUAGCUCCUGUAGCAGCCAGGCAUUGGCAGACAUGUUGGAAGGCAGCCACGCAGGCGGGUGAGUUUCAGCUGAAGAUGAUGGCUGCUUUGUUUUGGUUUUCCUUUUCCCCAAGCUGCCUCCACAAAUUGGCAAAGGGAUGUCAGGAUUAGAAAUAGUGGGAUUGGAGAAUAUGCCAGAAGCUAUUAGAGGGAAAGAGGCAGAGCUAUAGUAAAUGUGGAGAUGGAGCAGUGCCAGUAGGAGCGUGGUCAUGGGGGUUUGGAUGCAAUUAGCACAGCCGGCCAAACAUACCCUAACAUGGACGCUUCACAGUUACGUGCUGAAUAAUCCUCUGUGUUGUGCUUAUUUUCAGUGGAGUAUAGCUGAUACCUGUAGAUGGGGCCUUGUUUUUUCCCCAAAACCAGCAAUCAAUGUGGACCUGUUCCAAGUGACCAUGUCUCCCUUGCAGUCUUUGAAUCUGCAAGUAGCUGAAGGAUCUGGUGCAGAGUGCAGUACAUGAAUGAACAUUUGAAAAUGAGUGGAAAGGAUUUUCUUGGCUCAUCAAUACUACCACAUUGUGGAAUUAGAAAGAAGAGAGGCAUUGCUUUAUAACCUUCUGUUCUCAACAGUCUUGGAAUUUCACUUUUUAUGUGCUGUCUACACAGGCUUUAUUCCUCUGCAAGGAGAAAUGACAUUUUCUCCAAGCCCUUAACUUACAAGUUGGCACAGUGGUAUGUGUGAUAAGAGACACUGGACCUCCGGAAGUGUACCUAGUUCCCUGCUGUGAUGCUGCUGUUUAUCCCAUCUCUCCAGGCAUGUGUUUUUGGAAACGUACUCAUGAGUUUAGUUCCCAUUUUGUGUGAGGCUGUUGAUAAAUGCAAAUUUUUUUAGUGGGGUGGGAUGGCAAUCUUGUUUAUUACUAUCAUGCUAUUGCAGUACUUGGUUCUUGUUUUGGUGCAAGAACAUCAUUGUUUGUCUGUGGGACUGCUCUUUUAAUUGUCUUAAGUGUCAAAGUUGUAUAUGAAUUAAAUGAUUCCUUGAGGGUGGCAAAUUCUGGAGAGAAGUGCUGUGUAAUGCCCUUACACAAAGGUAAAGCAUUACUAGCUGGAUGGACAGGUAGGCAUAAGAAAUUUGGAAACUCUGAAAUGGGGUGAAUAAUUUUUUCUCUCCUGUAGUGCUUAGAGAGUGCUUAGAGAGUGUAAAAUGCCCAAGUCAUGUAUCUUUAACCCAGCACUCGAGGAAGAGGCAAAACCUCACAGUAGUGGGUUUAGAGGUUUGCGGGGAAUUAAUUUUACCAGUCUGAAAAUGUGGAAUAAAUAACUCUAUCCUAAAGAGUGGGCUGAGGGAGCUGUAUGUUUUCUCACUGGUUUUACUCUGGGAUGGGAAAAUUUUCUCACAGCUGGGGGAUUUAGUAAUCUCCUGCUGCAGGCUUUGAACUGAAAAUAUACCCUACUAUCAGAGCUAGGUUCCUCAGGCCCUAAUAUGGGAUUAUGGUGACAACUGCAUGGUUUAAUAAAAUGUUGUAGCUGGGAUUUGAGCAGGACCUGUUCAGAUCAUGCCAGCAUAAGCACUGGCUACGACAACAGGACAUACAAACUCUCAGCCCUGCUUAGAGCCAAAGGCAACAGGCAAUGCUUCUAACAGAUGCUGAGGUUGUAAGACUUAAGGUUAUAAGAUGUUUAAAACCAGAUCUUUACAAAAGCUGACAUGGUAAAAUCUUGUGGUUUAUACAGGCUGCAUGACAUAUAUUAAUGCUGCACUUUGUGGAGGCACCAAUAUCUAAAUCAGCUUCAGGGGAAGGAAGAGAGAAAUCAAGUGUUUAAUCAAGGCACUGUUCAAAUUCACAAUGUGUGUGAAGAAGGAAAGCCUGUGUGAACAUACUUCUAGAGGCAGUGAGUAAAAUCCUGCACUGAUCAUUUCAGGGAAAGAGAAGUCCUAAAACAUCCAGUAAAUAUUCCAAGGUUUUUUCCCUUCAUUUCCCAUUCAGAGCUAGAAAUGGAGGAGAGAAAUGUAUCACACGUGGUUUACCUGUUGCUCAUAUUGUGGCAUCUAGGUUCUCAGAAUGCCCUAAAAGCUUUUAUUUGUUCCAGUCACAAAGAAAACCUUCAAACUUUGACAUUUUCAGUAAGAAAUUAGUUCAUACAAUGCAAUGGGGGACAGCUUUCAUUGCCUGAGCCUCCAUCCUGAAUAAAGCAGCUUCCUUCUCACUUCAACUCAGCUACCCAGCAGUCCCUAUUCCUGGAGUCAGCUGGAAUGUUUUCAAAAUAAUGGGCUAAAAUCCAAGCAUGUACCAAAAGCUGCCCAGUCACCAAAUGCUCCUGAACUAAUUUCAAACAUUACUUGGGAAUGAUUCUUCUAACAUGUUGGAAAUGUCAUGUGGCUACAAUGGGAAGCUCAUAGUGUCCUGCAAACAUGUCCCUCUUAAGGUUUUAGUGUAUGUUUGUUUUUAAAAAUGUUGUUAAAAGAAUAGAUUCAGAGUGAUACCAGCAAACCUUUUUUCCAUGCCACUUUGAAAGGCUUGCUUGUGUAAUAUAAUCAAACCAUUAGGAAAUGCUUCUUUCUGAGGAAAAUAUAGAAAAAGGACUAAAGUAUACAGGACUUCAUAAGAAUUUCAUCUGGAUAUCUAUUGGUGGCUGUUUUCUUGGGCUGAAUUUCAACAAGUCACAGAAAGAUGAAGGGUUCUUGUACCCUUUGAUCAAUACGCCCUUAGUAAUUUUAUGUAAGAAUGUGCAUUUAAAGUAUGGCUAGAAAAUAGUCAUUAUUAGAAUACAGGACACAAUAACUUUUUUAAAAAAAUACUAUUAAUUAAAUAACAGCUUCACGGUUACUUCUGUACUACUGCAUCUUCUUUUUGGGGAUUAUCUGGGACAGUGAUGGUACUGGUUGUUUCCUUUGACUCCCCUAUAAAUAUCAAGAACAUUAACAUAUAAUCAAUAAUUCCAUGUACUUCUGUUAAUUUUGGCCAAGAAUGGGUUUUUUUGUGUACAUAAUCUCUCUUUUUUUUGGUGUGUGCAGUCCUUACAUAAGGCGAAUGGUUGUUUUUGCCUGCCUUGGCUUCCUGACAAAUUGCUGUGCUCUGUAUAUGACUAUAAGCAUAUACAGUUUCCUUACUGAGGUUAUUAAAAAAGUCUCUCCUUGAGCUUCAUCAAGCUUGCAGUGAAGGGACUAUUUUGAUUACAUUCUUUUAGCAUCUGACUCAGGUCCUUCCAUCUUUUGGGAUAGCUCAUCCUCGCUGCCUACAUCUACAAUGGGUAGCACUGUUGCUCUAACCCAUGCACCGGACACAUAAAGUGCCCAUAGAGAUUAUACACUCUAAGAAAUUUUCUGUUUUAGAAAAAAAAAUCAUUGCUGUUACAGAACAUACCUUACACUGAAUUUGUCUAUCUUGUUACCUAAUAUUUAAGCAUUGUUUAAAUUGGUCCUGCAAAGGAUUUUAGCGACUGCAUGUGGCUGAUGUGGAGUAUCUGGUCCUGCAGAAUCAGGAUAACUUCACUUUAUUAUAGUUUUGUAAUUCCAUAUAAUUAUAUGAAAAAAUCCUUAAGGUAUUUAUAGAUUUACAAUUGGCUGAUUAGUUUUUGAAAUCCCAGGGGAUUGUCAGGGAAAUGUCAUGUGGUUCAAUGUUUUUUUUUUUAAUCAGCCAAAUAACCAGGUGUCCAGAAACCUCUGUGUAUUUUCAGUGACACAAUUUGGACCACAGUUUCAGCUUCUGAGUCCUUCUUGUGCUUCAGGCUGGGAUGUAUACACAUGGACACCCAGAAAUACUAUGAAGAAAUUAAAUAAGCUUAUUCAGCAAUAAAUUAGCAUGUCUGGUUUUGGCUGGCUUUUAAGUUUGCAUCUGCAAACAGCUGAAGAUCAAAGACUAAGACUUCUGUAUUUGUUAAUCUAAUUUUACAUUUCAUUCGUCAGAUAUCACAAGUAUUUAAAUGUUUUGCAGAUAUCAGGACAUCUUCCUUCAUUGAGCUAUUCCAAGGGCAUUCAGGAAACCUUACAAAGUGUUGAUCAUAUCUAUUUUCUGGGGUGUUCUUGUUCUUACAGUAUAAAUCUCAUAUUUAAAUUCCAUAAUAAGACAUAUUGGAAAAUUCUCUUCAAAUAAUUCAUUGCCUUUGUGGCAUUGACCUGCUUUUAAUUUAGAAUGUGUUCAUACUGUUUCCUUUCUUGCAGCAUUACUGGACAAGAGGACCUUGUGGACUUUUGCAAUGAUUUGCAAAAACACCCUGAAACAACCUUUACUGAGACUAUGCUUUGUACUAGUUGACAUUAUAUUUGUGAGGGUUUGGUAACACAAAAUUAAGUGAUACACAUCAGACAGGCAUUGUUGACUGGCAAACUGGUGGAAAGUGAAGAAAGAGGAGGAGGAGGAGUGUGUGGGCAAGGAUGGCUACUCUGUAGUAGCUAGCUCCAGCUGACUGUGAUUUCAGAGAGAAUAAAUCCAAUUUUUUCUGAUGGGUCUCCCUGAAUUUGCACCUGGAGUUCCUAGAGGUAAG
rnacentral:lncRNA from 13 species